rnacentral:rRNA from 1 species
GAUCCUGGCUCAGGACGAACGCUGGCGGCGUGCUUAACACAUGCAAGUCGAACGCUGAAGCCUAGCUUGCUGGGUGGAUGAGUGGCGAACGGGUGAGUAACACGUGAGUAACCUGCCCUCUUCUUUGGGAUAACGCCCGGAAACGGGUGCUAAUACUGGAUAUUCACUGGCCUUCGCAUGGGGGUUGGGUGGGAAAGGGUUUUUUUCUUGGUGGGGGAGUGGGCUCGCGGCCUAUCAGCUUGUUGGUGGGGUGAUGG